UGAUGAGCAAAGAAGAAGAAGGAAAAAGACUUUAAUGUAAAAUUGAAUUUAGAUGAGAACAAUCUAAACAUUUGAUCACGCGUGUUGAAGAAAAAUAGAGGUCAAAUAUGAAGUACGAAGUCCUCAAGCUAUGAUAAGGGUAAAAACUAUAAAAGGCUGCUUGUUAAAUAUAUUCCAAACCUUAAUAGCUGAUAAAUUGACAUUGAUAACAUUUUUUUCUACUCCAAAUUCUAUAAGCACGUUAAAGACAUCAAAUGCUACAGUUAUCAGGUAGAUUGGCAUGACUACAUGAAAAUAAACCAUUAAACUCAAUUCUAUCACACAACAGAAUUUCCUCAAUCAUCUCAAAGACAGCUAGGCAGCUUGUGAAAUCAAAGAUAUAACUAUUUCUGGUGCUUAAUUAUGUUGCUUGAACAAGUGACUCAAAAUCUAAUAGCUAGACUUAUCAUACAACAAUGUCAAAUUGAGCUUUUUGUUUUUCUAAUUUAUUUAUUGAAGAUCCACCAACUU
rnacentral:misc_RNA from 1 species